rnacentral:rRNA from 1 species
AAUAUCAAAGGUGAGCCAGUACAGGAUGGACCCGCGUCUGAUUAGCUAGUUGGUAAGGUAACGGCUUACCAAGGCGACGAUCAGUAGCCGACCUGGGAGGGUGAUCGGCCACAUUGGAACUGAGACACGGUCCAAACUCCUACGGGAGGCAGCAGUGGGGAAUAUUGCACAAUGGGCGAAAGCCUGAUGCAGCAACGCCGCGUGAGUGAUGAAGGCCUUCGGG